rnacentral:rRNA from 1 species
GAUGAACGCUGGCGGCGUGCCUAAUACAUGCAAGUCGAGCGAAGCGGGGACGGGUGAGUAACACGUGGAUAACCUCCUAUAAGACUGGGAUAACUUCGGGAAACCGGAGCUAAACCGGAUACUUAUAGAUGGAUCCGUGCUGCAUUAGCUAGUUGGUGAGGUAACGGCUUACCAAGGCAACGAUGCAUAGCCGACCUGAGAGGGUAAUAGGCCACACUGGACCUGUGACUCGGCCCAGGCUCUUACGGGAGGCCGCAGUUGGGAUUCUUCGGCAAUGGGCGAAAGCGGGCCGUAGCAACGUCGUGUGAAUGAUGCAGGUCUUCGGAUCGUAAAAUUCUGUUAUUAGGGGAGCGGUACCUACUCAGAAAGCCCCGUCUACCUACGUGCCAGCCGCCGCGGUAAUAC